AGACUUUGCCGACGCAGCUCAAAGUGCGGUAUCUGUUCUUAUCAGCUUAAUAUCUGAUACGGGUUGUACUUGGAUCCAACAUGUUAAACUCAUUUUUGCAAGUUCGCGGAGCGCUUGAAGCCUGCUUCACCUCCGCCGCGAGUAGGCCCAGCAUUACACAUUCUUUGGGAUGGGCCCACGGUUU